rnacentral:rRNA from 1 species
AAACUUAAAGGAAUUGACGGAAGGGCACCACCAGGAGUGGAGCCUGCGGCUUAAUUUGACUCAACACGGGAAAUCUCACCAGGCCCGGACACCGGAAGGAUUGACAGAUUGAGAGCUCUUUCUUGAUUCGGUGGGUGGUGGUGCAUGGCCGUUCUUAGUUGGUGGAGCGAUUUGUCUGGUUAAUUCCGAUAACGAACGAGACUCUGGCCUACUAACUAGACGGUGGAUCUCUUUGUGGGUCCACCGCAGCUUCUUAGAGGGACGGGCGGCGUAUAGCCGCACGAGAAUGAGCAAUAACAGGUCUGUGAUGCCCUUAGAUGUUCUGGGCUGCACGCGCGCUACACUGAAGGAAUCAGCGUGUGUUCCCGACCCGAAAGGGCUGGGAAACCCGUUGAACCUCCUUCGUGAUGGGGAUUGGGGAUUGCAAUUAUUCCCCAUGAACGAGGAAUUCCCAGUAGGCGCGAGUCAUAAGCUUGCGUCGAUUACGUCCCUGCCCUUUGUACACACCGCCCGUCGCUACUACCGAUCGAGUGAUUUAGUGAGGACUUCGGACUGAUCUUCGUGAUGGCUUUCGGGUCGUGGCGUUGUAUCGGAAAGAUGCCCAAACUUGAUCACUUAGAGGAAGUAAAAGUCGUAACAAGGUUUCCGUAGGUGAA